rnacentral:lncRNA from 1 species
UAAGGUUCACAUUCUUAUUUAAUGUUUACUUCAAAGUACUUUUUGUUGUCAUGUGUGUGUGGAUGCGAUAUGUUUACAAGUUGCCGACUUAUUUCCAUUGAUUAAGACUUUAAUAAAUCACAUUUGAGCAAAAAUAAUAAUAAUAAUCCGGUUUUGAUAGGUUAACCGACGUAUCAGUAUCACCUAUAAGCCAUUUUGUGAAGAUCGAUGUGAGUUUGGGAGGAUGGGAUUGAUUACACGAACAUAUUUUGUAGGAUUAAAGUCUGUUAAUAUCAAAUAAAGAAAAACCUUGAUACAGUUUUAUUGUGAUACGUAUAAAUUUG